UUACAAAUGAAAAUAGAAUAUAUUAUUUAAUAAUAAGAAAAAAGUUGAGUGUGUAAUAGCUGCAAACAGCAGCCUCCUUGGUAAUAUGCAGCCUGUUGCUUGUAUAGGUUGCUCUAAGGAACCUUGGAGACAUUC